rnacentral:rRNA from 1 species
UACGUAGGGUGCAAGCGUUGUCCGGAAUUACUGGGCGUAAAGUGUGCGCAGGCGGCUUCGCAAGUCGAGUGUGAAAUCCCCGAGCUUAACUUGGGAAUUGCGCUCGAAACUACGGAGCUGGAGUGUGGCAGAGGAAGGUGGAAUUCCACGUGUAGCGGUGAAAUGCGUAGAGAUGUGGAGGAACACCGAUGGCGAAGGCAGCCCUUCUGGGCCAACACUGACGCUCAUGCACGAAAGCGUGGGGAGCAAACAGG